GAUGAACGCUAGCGGCAGGCUUAAUACAUGCAAGUCGAGGGGCAGCAUAAUUGUAGCAAUACAGUUGAUGGCGACCGGCAAACGGGUGCGGAACACGUACAGAACCUUCCUUCGAGCGGGGAAUAGCCCAGAGAAAUUUGGAUUAAUACCCCAUAGUAUUACGGAGUGGCAUCACUUUGUAAUUAAAGAUUUAUCACUUGAAGAUGGCUGUGCGGCUGAUUAGGUAGUUGGCGGGGUAACGGCCCACCAAGCCUGCGAUCAGUAACUGGUGUGAGAGCACGACCAGUCACACGGGCACUGAGACACGGGCCCGACUCCUACGGGAGGCAGCAGUAAGGAAUAUUGGUCAAUGGACGAAAGUUUGAACCAGCCAUGCCGCGUGAAGGAUGAAGGUCCUCUGGAUUGUAAACUUCUUUUAUAUGGGACGAAAAAAGGCUUUUCUAAGUCGUCUGACGGUACCAUAUGAAUAAGCACCGGCUAACUCCGUGCCAGCAGCCGCAGUAAUAC
rnacentral:rRNA from 1 species